GGUCCAGACUCCUACGGGAGGCAGCAGUGAGGAAUAUUGGUCAAUGGCCGCAGGGCUGAACCAGCCAAGUCGCGUGAGGGAAGACGGUCCUAUGGAUUGUAAACCUCUUUUGCCGGGGAGCAAAAAGCGGUACGUGCACCGCAUCGAGAGUACCCGGAGAAAAAGCAUCGGCUAACUCCGUGCCAGCAGCCGCGGUAAUACGGAGGAUGCGAGCGUUAUCCGGAUUUAUUGGGUUUAAAGGGCGCGCAGGCGGAUUUUUAAGUCAGCGGUCAAAUCGUGGGGCUCAACCCCAUCCAGCCGUUGAAACUGGGGAUCUAGAGUGUGCGAGAGGUAUGCGGAAUGCGUGGUGUAGCGGUGAAAUGCAUAGAUAUCACGCAGAACCCCGAUUGCGAAGGCAGCAUACCGGUGCACAACUGGCGCUGAGGCACGAAAGCGUGGGUAUCGAACAGGAUUAGAUACCCCGGUAA
rnacentral:rRNA from 1 species